UAAUUAUAAUUCAAGGCGGUC
rnacentral:siRNA from 1 species